CAAAAUUUCAAAGAAUCAAGUGACAAAAGGUGGUGAGCAUUCUGGCAAGAGUAAAGAGGUAGUACCCGAGGAUCAAGAAUCAGAGUAUCCCGAAUUCGAUUCCCAUUACAGCUCAGGAUAGUCGGUAGAUAGCUUAUUUCGUUGAGGGC